rnacentral:RNase_P_RNA from 1 species
CGAGUUGGCCGGGCGACCGCGGCACAGGGAACCAGCACAUCAGUGCACAGGCCCUGAGUCGAGGAAAGUCCGGACUCCACAGAGCAGGGCGGUUGUUAACGGCAACCCGAGGUGACUCGCGGGACAGUGCCACAGAAAACAGACCGCCGACGCCACAUCCUCCGGGGUGAGGCGUCGGUCAGGGUGAAACGGUGCGGUAAGAGCGCACCAGCACCCCGGGUGACCGGGGUGGCUAGGUAAACCCCGCCCGGAGCAAGGUUGAAGGCCGCACCGGAUCCUCCGGG